UACAGAGGGGGCAAGCGUUGUUCGGAAUUACUGGGCGUAAAGGGCGCGUAGGCGGCCGCCUAAGUCAGACGUGAAAUCCCUCGGCUCAACCGGGGAACUGCGUCUGAUACUGGGUGGCUUGAAUCCGGGAGAGGGAUGCGGAAUUCCAGGUGUAGCGGUGAAAUGCGUAGAUAUCUGGAGGAACACCGGUGGCGAAGGCGGCAUUCUGGACUGCAACUGACACUGAAAGACGAAAGCCAGGGGAGCAAACGGG
rnacentral:rRNA from 1 species